UGUUUGUUUUUUUAAAGGAUCCACACUAAAUCCAGCUAUGCACCAGCGUUGGAGGUCUCUGUCUGUUCCUAGCCUGGUACAUAGCCAGAGACCGACACCAUGUGUUUCUCCUAACCAACACCUUUCCUACAAAUGCUGGCUCUGCUUCUCCAGAGCUUGGAGAUUGCUCUCUUGCCAGCCCAAAACCCCGUGGCCAGAUGUGGCAGUGCUCUUGUCAGCCUGCACUCCACUGUGGUUACCUCUCCCCUGGUUCUCUGUCCUUUGCCCAAUCUUUCCAUUCCAAAGCCUGGCUCUAAAUUCCACCCCAGCUAUGUUCCUUCCCUUCAGCCAACCUGAGUCACCACCAAUAGAAAACACCAGACAACCUCAGUGUAAAAUCAACAGAUGACACAACUGCUGGGUAUGGAAUCUGUAAUCUAUCGAUGUAAACUCUUCAACUAUUCUAUGUUGGAAAUCUUCCGGUGGAGGAGGUCGCCACCAGGUCUGACAGUUCCCGGUCUAUAUCUUGCUUCCUCUUGCUCCUGCCUGGCUGUAAAACAAAACAAAACAGAACAAAAAAACCA
rnacentral:lncRNA from 1 species